CGGCUCGAAAAAAUGCUCCGGGCUGAAAUUAUCUUUCAUUGUUACUAGUGGUACAGGAGAUCGCGUCAGCUUCGGGACUCGGGGUAAAAAUGGAAGCGGCUUGUUUACCUUUUCACUUGUGUCAAAACAUUCUGACAGGACUUUGCGUGCAGCCAGCUUCUCCGUUCUGCCACCCAAAAUUCUGAUCCUUCCACCUAUGUUUGCACGUCAGGGAACAAAACCGAGAGAGCAAAACCUUCGGUGAGAGAAGUGCAUGUGCAAGAAGUGCAAAGCCUGGCGCAGGGCUCCCUGGACGGGAGACAAACGGCAGCAGAGCUGUGGCCCUCAGCUACGCGUCAGUGGUGACAGCAGCAGGGAAACAGCAGAGGAGGAUCGGAAGAAAAGAAGAGGAAAGUUUGGCUCACCUAAGAGAAACGGAGGCUGUUUUCGGCACGUCAGAAUAGCAAAGCCAGGUUUGCUGGUUCUGGUGGCACUUCGAAUUUCCCACAAGUGUUCCCCGCAAAGUAAACCCAUUUUAGCAUUCUUGUACGUUCACGUCAGGAUUUCCACAGACCGAGGCCUCCACCGAGGCCACCCGACUCUGUCUGCGUCCUUCAGAGCAACGGGAGGUUAGGAUUUUAAGCAAAGAAAGAAACAAACUGCGUCCGUACUCUGCAAGGUGCGGGAUCCAAAUGCA
rnacentral:lncRNA from 1 species